AUGAACGCUGGCGGCGUGCCUAAUACCUGCAAGUCGAGCGAACGGACGAGAAGCUUGCUUCUCUGAUGUUAGCGGCGGACGGGUGAGUAACACGUGGAUAACCUACCUAUAAGACUGGGAUAACUUCGGGAAACCGGAGCUAAUACCGGAUAAUAUUUUGAACCGCCUGGUUCAAAAGUGAAAGACGGUCUUGCUGUCACUUAUAGAUGGAUCCGCGCUGCAUUAGCUAGUUGGUAAGGUAACGGCUUACCAAGGCAACGAUGCAUAGCCGACCUGAGAGGGUGAUCGGCCACACUGGAACUGAGACACGGUCCAGACUCCUACGGGAGGCAGCAGUAGGGAAUCUUCCGCAAUGGGCGAAAGCCUGACGGAGCAACGCCGCGUGAGUGAUGAAGGUCUUCGGAUCGUAAAACUCUGUUAUUAGGGAAGAACAUAUGUGUAAGUAACUGUGCACAUCUUGACGGUACCUAAUCAGAAAGCCACGGCUAACUACGUG
rnacentral:rRNA from 1 species